AAUAUUCCCAUAGCCUCUGGUGAGAAUUAACACUAAUGUUUACAACAUGACCCAUUUCUCCCCAGAUUUUUAGUGCAUCAAGGAGCUUGUUAAAAUCACCAGCUGACUAUGGCACAGUCAGCUGUCUCAUCUUGCAAGCACUCAAUGCAGUAGUGUUAAGGCAGGGUGAGACAGAGUAAGCACAAUGUGUACAAAUGCAAAAUCUACUAAGAAGAAUAAUAGUUCUGGAACACAUAAAAAUAGAACAUUGAAAGAGCUGUGACAAAGCUGUGUUCUGAGCUCUUUUCAGGGAUAAUUCUCAGCAAGGACAGCCAAACACCUUGGGAAAAUCAAACAUUCGAGGAUCAGAAACUCAUGUACACUUUGUAGGGCUUGAAGAGCUAUUUAGCUCUGAAGGUCAAAGUGUGGUGAACACAUCAAAGAGAACUGCAGAGUGUUCCUUGCUGAAUUUGUUCUUUUCUUUUGUCUCUCCACAGAAGAAUAUCAUGUUGCCAAAGGCUUACAAUGAAAAGACUGGCAUUUUUAUUUUACUGUAGUUGAAACAGCACUGGCUGUAUCAUGAUGGAUCACAUGUACUCUUUGGAGUCAAUUCUUCAGAUUCAACUGCUUAAUUAAAUUUUAAGCAUUAUUGAUUUAGUUUACAUAGCCUCCCCACUUCCAGCACCACUGAAUCUGAAGUCUCUGUACUCUGCACCAAAAAAGGGGGACGGGGGGGGAGGGGAAGGGAUAAGGAAAAUCAAGGCAUAUUAAUAAUGAAAGCACUUGGUUGGAAGAUGCAGGGGAAAUCUUACAGGAUGCAGAGAUUAAUUACUGCAAGAUAAGUAAUACUCUUUCUUCUGCAGAAUAGAAAUCUAAAACAAUUGAGUGGGAUCGGUGGGGCAGGUUCUUAAAUUCUGCAAAUGAGCAGCAACUGUGCCCCAGUGGUGCUAACACCCAACAGAGCGGAGGAAUUGGCCUGAUCUGUGUAGAAGUACUUGAUCAAUAGAAAGACAAACCAGCUAUUAGUCAGUGGCAUGUACAAUGGAGUUGCCAGAACAAGUCUUUUUCUUAUUUAUUUAUUUUAAUUCUCCAUUGUUCAAUACUACUUUGCAGGGCUUUAUCUACACCAGACAGGGAGUCCAACAAGAACAGGAAGUUUAAUCUGAAUGAGCUGGGCUUAAUUGGCAAAAGGCAAGAUUGACAAAUGCAAUUAACAGUUUUCCAAUAAAUACAAUUUGUACAAUAAGAGAUAGUGAUUA
rnacentral:lncRNA from 1 species